rnacentral:rRNA from 1 species
UGGGGAAUUUUGGACAAUGGGCGAAAGCCUGAUCCAGCAAUGCCGCGUGUGUGAAGAAGGCCUUCGGGUUGUAAAGCACUUUUGUCCGGAAAGAAAUGGCUCUGGUUAAUACCUGGGGUCGAUGACGGUACCGGAAGAAUAAGGACCGGCUAACUACGUGCCAGCAGCCGCGGUAAUACGCAGGGUCCAAGCGUUAAUCGGAAUUACUGGGCGUAAAGCGUGCGCAGGCGGUUGUGCAAGACCGAUGUGAAAUCCCCGAGCUUAACUUGGGAAUUGCAUUGGUGACUGCACGGCUAGAGUGUGUCAGAGGGGGGUAGAAUUCCACGUGGAGCAGUGAAAUGCGUAGAGAUGUGGAGGAAUACCGAUGGCGAAGGCAGCCCCCUGGGAUAACACUGACGCUCAUGCACGAAAGCGUGGGGAGCAAACAGGAUUAGAUACCCUGGUAGUCCACGCCCUAAACGAUGUCAACUAGUUGUUGGGGAUUCAUUUCCUUAGUAACGUAGCUAACGCGUGAAGUUGACCGCC